AAAAGAAACCAACAGGGAUUGCCCUAGUAACGGCGAGUGAAGCGGCAACAGCUCAAAUUUGAAAUCUGGCCCCUUUGGGGUCCGAGUUGUAAUUUGCAGAGGGUGCUUUGGCGUUGGCUGUGGUCUAAGUUCCUUGGAACAGGACGUCACAGAGGGUGAGAAUCCCGUACGUGGCCGCCAGCCUCCGCCGUGUAAAGCCCCUUCGACGAGUCGAGUUGUUUGGGAAUGCAGCUCUAAAUGGGAGGUAAAUUUCUUCUAAAGCUAAAUAUUUGCCAGAGACCGAUAGCGCACAAGUAGAGUGAUCGAAAGAUGAAAAGCACUUUGGAAAGAGAGUCAAAAAGCACGUGAAAUUGUUGAAAGGGAAGCGCUUGCAGCUAGACGUGCCUUGGGUUGAUCAGCCGGGCUUCUGCCCGGUGCACUCUUCCUCUGGCAGGCCAGCAUCAGUUUGGGCGGCUGGAUAAAGGUCUGUUAAACGUGACUCCCCUCGGGGAGAGCUUAUAGGGCAGACGACAUGCAGCCAGCCUGGACUGAGGUCCGCGCAUCUGCUAGGAUGCUGGCGUAAUAGCUGUAAGCGGCC
rnacentral:rRNA from 1 species